rnacentral:rRNA from 1 species
AAUUCGCCCUUUGCCAVCAGCCGCGGUAAUACARAGGGUGCGAGCGGUUAAUCGGAUUUACUGKGCGUAAAGCGUGCGUAGGCGGYUUUUUAAGUCRGAUGUGAAAUCCCCGAGCUUAACUUGGGAAUUGCAUUCGAUACUGGGAMGCUAGAGUAUGGSAGAGGAUGGURKAAUUCCCRGGUGUAGCGGUGAAAUGCGUARAGAUCUGGAGGAAUACCGAUGGCAGAAGGCAGCCWUCUGGCCUAAUACUGACGCUGAUGGYACGAAAGCAUGGGGAGCAAACAGGAUUAGAUACCCUGGUAGUCCC